rnacentral:rRNA from 1 species
GACGAACGCUGGCGGCGUGCUUAACACAUGCAAGUGGUGCGACGAACCAGGCUUCGGCCUGGGGCGAAGCCGCGAACGGGUGAGUAACACGUGGGCAAUCUGCCCCGACGAUCGGGACAACCCGGGGAAACCCGGGCUAAUACCGAAUGUGGUGCCGGCUCAUGAGAGCCGGUACGAAAGGAAGCUUCGGCCUCCGCGACGGGAUGAGCCCGCGGCCCAUUAGCUUGUUGGUGGGGUAAUGGCCUACCAAGGCAACGAUGGGUAGCUGGUCUGAGAGGACGAUCAGCCACACUGGGACUGAGACACGGCCCAGACUCCUACGGGAGGCUGCAGUGGGGAAUCUUGCGCAAUGAGCGACAGCUUGACGCAGCAACGCCGCGUGGGGGAAGAAGGCUUUCGGGUCGUAAACCCCUUUCAGUUAGGACGAAGCUUUAUUGGUUAAUAACCAAUUAGAGUGACGGUACUUUCAGAAGAAGCCCCGGCUAACUACGUGCCAGCAGCCGCCGUAA